GGGGCUGUAGCUCAGAGGCAGAGUGCUCACCUGGCAUGUGAGAGGCACUGGGUUAAAUCCUUAGCACUG
rfam:Ictidomys tridecemlineatus contig066148, whole genome shotgun sequence.